rnacentral:rRNA from 1 species
GAUCCUGGCCUCAGGAUGAACGCUAGCUACAGGCUUAACACAUGCAAGUCGAGGGGCAGCAUGUUGGUUGCUUGCAACCAACGAUGGCGACCGGCGCACGGGUGAGUAACGCGUAUCCAACCUUCCGCAUACUCGGGAAUAGCCUUUCGAAAGAAAGAUUAAUGCCCGAUGGUUUCCCGAAUCCGCAUGAGAGCGGGAAUAAAGAUUCAUCGGUAUGCGAUGGGGAUGCGUCCCA